rnacentral:rRNA from 1 species
GACGAACGCUGGCGGCGUGCUUAACACAUGCAAGUCGAACGGAAAGGCCCUGCUUUUGUGGGGUGCUCGAGUGGCGAACGGGUGAGUAACACGUGAGUAACCUGCCCUUGACUUUGGGAUAACUUCAGGAAACUGGGGCUCAUACCGGAUAGGAGCUCCUGCUGCAUGGUGGGGGUUGGAAAGUUUCGGCGGUUGGGGAUGGACUCGCGGCUUAUCAGCUUGUUGGUGGGGUAGUGGCUUACCAAGGCUUUGACGGGUAGCCCGCCUGAGAGGGGGAACGGGCACAAUGGGACUGAGGUAGGGACCAGUACGCUACCGGAGGCAAGGGGGGGGAGUAUUGCACAAUGGGCGGAAGCCUGAUGCGGCAACGCCGCGUGCGGGAUAACGGCCUUCGGGUUGUAAACCGAUUUCGCCUGUGACGAAGCGUGAGUGACGGUAAUGGGUAAAGAAGCACCGGCUAACUACGUG